CCUACGUGGGGCAGCAGUGAGGAAUAUUGGUCAAUGGCCGGAAGGCUGAACCAGCCAUGCCGCGUGAAGGUCAGUGCCCUAUGGGCGUUAAACUUCUUUUGUGCGGGGGCAAUAAUGGUCACGUGUGGCCAGACGAGAGUACCGUACGAAUAAGCAUCGGCUAACUCCGUGCCAGCCGCCGCGGUAAUACGGGGGAUGCAAGCGUUAUCCGGAUUUGUUGGGUUUAAAGGGUGCGUAGGCUGGGAGGUAAGUCAGCGGUGAAAUGCCCGCGCUCAACGGGGUGAAGUGCCAUUGAUACUGGCUUGCUGGAAUGCGGAUGCCGUGGGAGGAAUGUGUGGUGUAGCGGUGAAAUGCAUAGAUAUCACACAGAACACCGAUUGCGAAGGCAUCUCACGAAUCCGCGAUUGACGCUGAUGCACGAAAGCGUGGGUAUCAAACAGGAUUAGAUACCCUUGUAGUC
rnacentral:rRNA from 1 species